rnacentral:rRNA from 1 species
AGUGAACGCUGGCGGUAGGCCUAACACAUGCAAGUCGAACGGCAGCACAGUAAGAGCUUGCUCUUACGGGUGGCGAGUGGCGGAUGGGUGAGGAAUACAUCGGAAUCUACUUUUUCGUGGGGGAUAACGUAGGGAAACUUACGCUAAUACCGCAUACGACCUACGGGUGAAAGCAGGGGAUCUUCGGACCUUGCGCGAUUGAAUGAGCCGAUGUCGGAUUAGCUAGUUGGCGGGGUAAAGGCCAACCAAGGCGACGAUCCGUAGCUGGUCUGGGAGGAUGAUCAGCCACACUGGAACUGAGACACGGUCCAGACUCCUACGGGAGGCAGCAGUGGGGAAUAUUGGACAAUGGGCGCAAGCCUGGUCCAGCCAUACCGCGUGGGUGAAGAAGGCCUUCGGGUUGUAAAGCCCUUUUGUUGGGAAAGAAAAGCAGCAGGUUAAUACCCCGCUGUUCUGACGGUACCCAAAGAAUAAGCACCGGCUAACUUCGUG